rnacentral:rRNA from 1 species
UACAGAGGGUGCAAGCGUUGUUCGGAAUUAUUGGGCGUAAAGCGCGUGUAGGCGGCUUUGCAAGUCGGGUGUGAAAGCCCUCGGCUCAACCGAGGAAGUGCGCCCGAAACUGCAGAGCUUGAGUACCGGAGAGGAUGGCGGAAUUCCCCAAGUAGAGGUGAAAUUCGUAGAUAUGGGGAGGAACACCUGUGGCGAAGGCGGCCAUCUGGACGGAUACUGACGCUGAGACGCGAAAGCGUGGGGAGCAAACAGG